GGGUCAGUAGGUUGGUCGUGCCACCGGUACGUACUGGUCUCACUGAUUCCUCCUUCCUGAAGAACCGUAAUGCCAUUAAUUUGGUGCUGCGGAGAAACAGGACUGUUACUUUGAAAAAAUUAGAGUGUUUAAAGCAAGCUAACGCUUGAAUACAUUAGCAUGGAAUAAUGAAAUAGGACGAUCGAUCCUAUUUUGUUGGUUUCUAGGAUUGACGUA
rnacentral:rRNA from 1 species